AACGAACGCUGGCGGCAGGCCUAACACAUGCAAGUCGAACGCUGUAGCAAUACAGAGUGGCAGACGGGUGAGUAACACGUGGGAAUCUUCCUAUCGGUACGGAAUAGCUCAGGGAAACUUGGGGUAAUACCGCAUACGCCCUUCGGGGGAAAGAUUUAUCGCCGAUAGAUGAGCCCGCGUCUGAUUAGCUAGUUGGUGAGGUAAUGGCUCACCAAGGCGACGAUCAGUAGCUGGUCUGAGAGGAUGACCAGCCACACUGGGACUGAGACUCGGCCCAGACUCCUACGGGAGGCAGCAGUGGGGAAUAUUGGACAAUGGGCGCAAGCCUGAUCCAGCCAUGCCGCGUGAGUGACGAAGGUCUUCGGAUUGUAAAGCUCUUUUGGCGGGGACGAUAAUGACGGUACCCGCAGAAUAAGCCCCGGCUAACUUCGUGCCAGCCGCCGCCGUAAGAC
rnacentral:rRNA from 1 species